rnacentral:rRNA from 1 species
GGUUAAGCGACUAAGCGUACACGGUGGAUGCCCUGGCAGUCAGAGGCGAUGAAGGACGUGCUAAUCUGCGAUAAGCGUCGGUAAGGUGAUAUGAACCGUUAUAACCGGCGAUUUCCGAAUGGGGAAACCCAGUGUGUUUCGACACACUAUCAUUAACUGAAUCCAUAGGUUAAUGAGGCGAACCGGGGGAACUGAAACAUCUAAGUACCCCGAGGAAAAGAAAUCAACCGAGAUUCCCCCAGUAGCGGCGAGCGAACGGGGAGGAGCCCAGAGCCUGAAUCAGUGUGUGUGUUAGUGGAAGCGUCUGGAAAGGCGCGCGAUACAGGGUGACAGCCCCGUACACAAAAAUGCACAUGCUGUGAGCUCGAUGAGUAGGGCGGGACACGUGGUAUCCUGUCUGAAUAUGGGGGGACCAUCCUCCAAGGCUAAAUACUCCUGACUGACCGAUAGUGAACCAGUACCGUGAGGGAAAGGCGAAAAGAACCCCGGCGAGGGGAGUGAAAAAGAACCUGAAACCGUGUACGUACAAGCAGUGGGAGCCUCUUUUAUGGGGUGACUGCGUACCUUUUGUAUAAUGGGUCAGCGACUUAUAUUCUGUAGCAAGGUUAACCGAAUAGGGGAGCCGAAGGGAAACCGAGUCUUAACUGGGCGUUAAGUUGCAGGGUAUAGACCCGAAACCCGGUGAUCUAGCCAUGGGCAGGUUGAAGGUUGGGUAACACUAACUGGAGGACCGAACCGACUAAUGUUGAAAAAUUAGCGGAUGACUUGUGGCUGGGGGUGAAAGGCCAAUCAAACCGGGAGAUAGCUGGUUCUCCCCGAAAGCUAUUUAGGUAGCGCCUCGUGAAUUCAUCUCCGGGGGUAGAGCACUGUUUCGGCAAGGGGGUCAUCCCGACUUACCAACCCGAUGCAAACUGCGAAUACCGGAGAAUGUUAUCACGGGAGACACACGGCGGGUGCUAACGUCCGUCGUGAAGAGGGAAACAACCCAGACCGCCAGCUAAGGUCCCAAAGUCAUGGUUAAGUGGGAAACGAUGUGGGAAGGCCCAGACAGCCAGGAUGUUGGCUUAGAAGCAGCCAUCAUUUAAAGAAAGCGUAAUAGCUCACUGGUCGAGUCGGCCUGCGCGGAAGAUGUAACGGGGCUAAACCAUGCACCGAAGCUGCGGCAGCGACGCUUAUGCGUUGUUGGGUAGGGGAGCGUUCUGUAAGCCUGCGAAGGUGUACUGUGAGGUAUGCUGGAGGUAUCAGAAGUGCGAAUGCUGACAUAAGUAACGAUAAAGCGGGUGAAAAGCCCGCUCGCCGGAAGACCAAGGGUUCCUGUCCAACGUUAAUCGGGGCAGGGUGAGUCGACCCCUAAGGCGAGGCCGAAAGGCGUAGUCGAUGGGAAACAGGUUAAUAUUCCUGUACUUGGUGUUACUGCGAAGGGGGGACGGAGAAGGCUAUGUUGGCCGGGCGACGGUUGUCCCGGUUUAAGCGUGUAGGCUGGUUUUCCAGGCAAAUCCGGAAAAUCAAGGCUGAGGCGUGAUGACGAGGCACUACGGUGCUGAAGCAACAAAUGCCCUGCUUCCAGGAAAAGCCUCUAAGCAUCAGGUAACAUCAAAUCGUACCCCAAACCGACACAGGUGGUCAGGUAGAGAAUACCAAGGCGCUUGAGAGAACUCGGGUGAAGGAACUAGGCAAAAUGGUGCCGUAACUUCGGGAGAAGGCACGCUGAUAUGUAGGUGAAGUCCCUCGCGGAUGGAGCUGAAAUCAGUCGAAGAUACCAGCUGGCUGCAACUGUUUAUUAAAAACACAGCACUGUGCAAACACGAAAGUGGACGUAUACGGUGUGACGCCUGCCCGGUGCCGGAAGGUUAAUUGAUGGGGUUAGCGCAAGCGAAGCUCUUGAUCGAAGCCCCGGUAAACGGCGGCCGUAACUAUAACGGUCCUAAGGUAGCGAAAUUCCUUGUCGGGUAAGUUCCGACCUGCACGAAUGGCGUAAUGAUGGCCAGGCUGUCUCCACCCGAGACUCAGUGAAAUUGAACUCGCUGUGAAGAUGCAGUGUACCCGCGGCAAGACGGAAAGACCCCGUGAACCUUUACUAUAGCUUGACACUGAACAUUGAGCCUUGAUGUGUAGGAUAGGUGGGAGGCUUUGAAGUGUGGACGCCAGUCUGCAUGGAGCCGACCUUGAAAUACCACCCUUUAAUGUUUGAUGUUCUAACGUUGACCCGUAAUCCGGGUUGCGGACAGUGUCUGGUGGGUAGUUUGACUGGGGCGGUCUCCUCCUAAAGAGUAACGGAGGAGCACGAAGGUUGGCUAAUCCUGGUCGGACAUCAGGAGGUUAGUGCAAUGGCAUAAGCCAGCUUGACUGCGAGCGUGACGGCGCGAGCAGGUGCGAAAGCAGGUCAUAGUGAUCCGGUGGUUCUGAAUGGAAGGGCCAUCGCUCAACGGAUAAAAGGUACUCCGGGGAUAACAGGCUGAUACCGCCCAAGAGUUCAUAUCGACGGCGGUGUUUGGCACCUCGAUGUCGGCUCAUCACAUCCUGGGGCUGAAGUAGGUCCCAAGGGUAUGGCUGUUCGCCAUUUAAAGUGGUACGCGAGCUGGGUUUAGAACGUCGUGAGACAGUUCGGUCCCUAUCUGCCGUGGGCGCUGGAGAACUGAGGGGGGCUGCUCCUAGUACGAGAGGACCGGAGUGGACGCAUCACUGGUGUUCGGGUUGUCAUGCCAAUGGCACUGCCCGGUAGCUAAAUGCGGAAGAGAUAAGUGCUGAAAGCAUCUAAGCACGAAACUUGCCCCGAGAUGAGUUCUCCCUGACUCCUUUAGAGUCCUGAAGGAACGUUGAAGACGACGACGUUGAUAGGCCGGGUGUGUAAGCGCAGCGAUGCGUUGAGCUAACCGGUACUAAUGAACCGUGAGGCUUAACCUUACAACGCCGAAGGUGUUUUG